CCUACGGGCGGCAGCAGUGGGGAAUAUUGGACAAUGGGGGCAACCCUGAUCCAGCCAUGCCGCGUGUGUGAAGAAGGCCCUCGGGUUGUAAAGCACUUUCAGUGAGGAAGAACGCCUGGUGGUUAAUACCCAUCAGGAAAGACAUCACUCACAGAAGAAGCACCGGCUAACUCCGUGCCAGCAGCCGCGGUAAUACGGAGGGUGCGAGCGUUAAUCGGAAUUACUGGGCGUAAAGCGCGCGUAGGUGGCUUGAUAAGCCGGUUGUGAAAGCCCCGGGCUCAACCUGGGAACGGCAUCCGGAACUGUCAAGCUAGAGUGCAGGAGAGGAAGGUAGAAUUCCCGGUGUAGCGGUGAAAUGCGUAGAGAUCGGGAGGAAUACCAGUGGCGAAGGCGGCCUUCUGGACUGACACUGACACUGAGGUGCGAAAGUGUGGGUAGCAAACAGGAUUAGAUACCCCUGUAGUC
rnacentral:rRNA from 1 species